rnacentral:rRNA from 1 species
UUUUGCACAAUGGGCGAAAGCCUGAUGCAGCAACGCCGCGUGCGGGAUGAAGGCCCUCGGGUUGUAAACCGCUUUCAGCAGGGAUGAAGAUGACAGUACCUGCAGAAGAAGCCCCGGCUAACUACGUGCCAGCAGCCGCGGUAAUACGUAGGGGGCAAGCGUUAUCCGGAUUCAUUGGGCGUAAAGAGCGCGUAGGCGGACUGUUAAGUCAGAUGUGAAAACCGGGGGCUCAACCCGCGGCCUGCAUCUGAAACUGGCAGUCUUGAGUCUGGUAGAGGAAAGUGGAAUUCCUGGUGUAGCGGUGAAAUGCGCAGAUAUCAGGAGGAACACCAGUGGCGAAGGCGGCUUUCUGGGCCACGACUGACGCUGAGGCGCGAAAGCUAGGGGAGCGAACAGG